UGGUAUUUUGUAUGUCAAUUUGCUGAUGUACUUGCGGGGGAAGUUUCAUGUGCUAUAAGGCUGACUGGUAUAAGCUGCAGUGCGUUAUACACUUGUUAUUGAAUUGCUUUGUCAUUUGCUGAUACUUCAAAUAGCUUCAGUUUGCUGUUCUCUAUCAAUUUAUUGUAUAAUACCCUUGCUUCAAAAACUUUGUUUGGUAUUACCCACACAGUCCUGUUAUAAUGAAGACUAGAAACUGGAAAUCCUUCGUCUCCCUGCAAUGUUCUACCAAAGGAAAAUUCUUUAAUUCCCUCCCAAGGUUAUUACCGCAUGGGUUGAAAUAGUAGCAACUGCAAAAGUCAUCUGAAAAUGGGAGUGUAACAUGAUCUUAACAAUUUUCAAAUACUACGAAAUAGAAUGGAAUGGAAGUCUUCAAUGGACUUUUAACAAAUUCCAUUCAAUAUCGAGGAAAAUCUGAACCGACCCUGACGCUCUGGAUCUUAAUUUUUCACUGCUGUGAAAUCGACAAGCAGUCUGCUGGAUGGUAAAAAUUAAUAUUUCAACAUACUUAGAACUUGGAGAAUGUCGCAGUAAUUUGCUUACUUUGCAUGUCUAAAAAAUUUGUCAUAAAUUCAAAUUUUUUCCGAUUAAUGUUUUGACUAUAGAAAUAUUCAAAUUGUGUUUUUCAACAACUAGCUUUAAUUGCAGAGAACUACUCGUCAGUUUCUCUAUACAAGGGAACUUCAAAGUAUCUUGUAGAAAAAUAUAAUUUCCAAAUUUUUAAAUAAAAUUUCCAUAAUUUUAUGAAAUUAUCUCUAGAUUAGAAUUUUAGCAAUGAAACGGACAAAACUCGGUAGCUAAACGCCUCAACAUUAAAUAUAGGUUAAUGUUAGCAUACGCCCAAGUGUUCAAGGUCAGAAUCGAUUAUUUGUAGCCUUUGAUAUAUACGUCCUUCUCAAACGGACAGUAUAUUAAACCCAAGUGAAACGCCUUUAGAAUAAUAUGUACUGCAGUGGUCAUAAUACCCUUCUAUUCUGAUCAUUCACGAAAUCCUCGGACAUUCAUUCGAUGACUCGCUAAUUGAAUUUAAACUCGGCUCCCGCCUGAUACGCUUCCUUGGAUGAAGGUAAUAUUCGAUAAAUACUGAAGUUUCAGGUUUUCAAGUCCCGGCUACCUUGCAAAUAACAUCCUCUUAAACUGGCUACAUCAAUCACCCUCAAAUCGAGUAGUAUCUAAAGAUUUUGAAAUGUUUCCAAAACCCUCAACGGAACCAAAUUUCCUUAUAUUUUCUAAUCUUCAUUGGGAAGGAAAAUUUAAUAUUUUAAACUGCACUUGUAGCAUAAAAUGACUGUUUACGAAUCAAAACAAAAUAUUAAAAUGAUGAAUUCUGAUUGUUAAUAAAGUUCUUCCCGAGAUAUUCAAACAACGUCUAGCAAAUAGGUUUCCAUAGGCAAACUUAGACACAGAUUUUCAAGCCGUUAAAACAUUGACAACGCGUCAUCUUAGUAUCUUCAUUUAAAAAUUGCUAAUAUUUCAAAUCGAUUAUUUAACAGAAUAUAAAAUCAAUCCAUAAAGUAUCUUUGAAUUUUAAAGGAAAGUAAACUAUUAAUUUAACGUCCAUGUCAGUCAAAUUCGAGGGAUUAAUUGUUAGUUUAUUAGAUAGCAGCUACAAAUUUUAAAAGUAUAAAUUGCACUUGACUGGUUCAUUAGGGAUCGGAGAAACAAUGAAAUAAGUUCUGUAGAUAAGUAGGGUGGAAUUGGGAUUAACAUGUUAAAUAAUUGGCUGAUCCCUGUUUACUUUCCGUUUAGGCUGCUUGGGACCGACGGUCUAAACGGAAAGUAUCGGUCCCCAGGGAGCCAAUUAUCUAACGUGUUAACUGCGAAUUGGUCAAAUAGUCAUAAAAUUGGGAAUGCAGGGAGUUAUCACAAUUAAUGACACAUUAAGUACAGUUGUAAUUUCCGUAAGAUUGUAGGGAACGUUUGAACCUCUAAAGUGUAAUUUAUACUCCAAGCAUUGGUAACAACUAAAAAUUAAUGCCGACUGUAGAUCUUAACUCUCAUGUUUACUUGCAUCAUUUUUGUAAAUAUCAUCGUUACGAAACUGCAAUGUUCGUAUUUUGUAAGAAAUUAAGGUUUGCUAUAGCGAAAUUUACGAUACAGAUAACAUUUUUUCACUUAAAUACCAUGUAUAGAAUAUUUCUCAAUACACAAUGUAAACCGGUAGUAAGUUAGCUUCCUUGUCAUAGAAUUCGAACCCGAUUUCGAGAUACGUGCAGAAAUUGAGUUGUAUGAACCAACUAUUUAAGAAAUUAAAUAAACAUUUUUUUAAAAACUCGAGUCGUAAAAAAACUAGAGUUGCUGCUGUAGA